GAUCACAGAAAGUAAGGAGGGUCGGUCCUGGUUACUACUGGGAUGGGACACCGCCUGGGAGUACAAGGUGCUGUAAGCU
rnacentral:rRNA from 1 species